CUUAUCCUGUUACAUAAUUAUCAAAUAAAACAGUAAUUCCAGAAUAAGUAAUAGCAGUCACACAGAGUACUGCAUGGUUAGACAUUUUCCUCUUGGUUGGAAGACAUUAGGGUAUAAUAUCUAACAAAGAAUUUCUCUGAAUAUCUAAGCAGUGAACUAAUAACCAGAGCGGUGUCUGAAAACCAGUCCGCAGCCAGUCGAGAGGGCCUUGCUCUCGUGAUCUUGCAUGCUUCACAGUUCCACGAAAAAAACCCAGAACUGUCAGUCGAAAGACAGUUUUAAGAUGGUGUUUUUGCUCUAAUCUUUUGGUUUGGGGAGGCUUCCUUUAUAAAAUCCAAAGUCCUUAAGAGAGUGAAUUUGGCACUGCGCCAAAGGCUUCUCUGGCUUCUCAGGCAAGGAUCCGGGUGUUCUUUUUCUUCCAGCGCUGUGAUGGGCACACUAGGAGCAGCUCCUUGCUGAGCCCUGGGGCUCCUGCAGAUGAGGACAGCAGGGGACCAGGCAGAUGGCCAAGACGACAGUGAGGAGAGCAGAGCCCACAGCCGGCUGCGGUGGACAGUCUGCCGCAGAGGGCAGGCAGACGCAGGGGUCAGCUCAGGGGUCAGCUCUGAGCCCCCGGGGUGCUCCCAGAGGCCUUCCUUCCGGAUUAGUGCCACUGUCCUUCAGGCUGAGCAAAAUGGAUCGUUUCAGUGUCACUCCCCAGUCAGUCAAUUCCCAUCAGGAUCUGGAGGUGCCGAGGAGGCGGGCCGUCAGCCGGGACUCACUUUGCAGCACAUAAUGCCCAGGUCCUGCGAGGAAGGAGUGGGAAGGAGCAGGAAAUUGGACUUAAGUCGCCUCCAGAUCAACACAGAGUUCAAUCCUGGGAAGAAGAACAGUGACUACCAUGGCAGUAGAAAAUACACUAUCUUUGCAGAAUCAAAGACUGGCUAUGCUUUAGUAUUUACCUGCACUGUGAGAAUUCUGUGAUCAAAGCCUGGACAAGAUGGACAAGGUCUUGAAAAGGAGAAUCUCCAUUGUUUCUCAUGGACUACCACCCAACUGUAGUCUAGGUGACUUCUCUUCAAC
rnacentral:lncRNA from 1 species